rnacentral:rRNA from 1 species
GAGCGCAACCCUUGUCUUUAGUUGCCAUCAUUAAGUUGGGCACUCUAGAGAGACUGCCAGGGAUAACCUGGAGGAAGGUGGGGAUGACGUCAAAUCAUCAUGCCCCUUAUGCUUAGGGCUACACACGUGCUACAAUGGGUAGUACAGAGGGUUGCCAAGCCGUAAGGUGGAGCUAAUCCCUUAAAGCUACUCUCAGUUCGGAUUGUAGGCUGAAACUCGCCUACAUGAAGCUGGAGUUACUAGUAAUCGCAGAUCAGAAUGCUGCGGUGAAUGCGUUCCCGGGUCUUGUACACACCGCCCGUCACACCACGGGAGUUGGAGACGCCCGAAGCCGAUUAUCUAACCUUUUGGAAGAAGUCGUCGAAGGUGGAAUCAAUAACUGGGGUGAAGUCGUAACAAGGUAGCCGUAUCGGAAGGUGCGGCUGGAUCACCUCCUUUCUAAG